GGUGAACGCUGGCGGCGUGCCUAAUACAUGCAAGUCGAGCGAACGGACGAGAAGCUUGUUUCUCUGAUGUUAGCGGCGGACGGGUGAGUAACACGUGGAUAACCUACCUAUAAGACUGGGAUAACUUCGGGAAACCGUAGCUAAUACCGGAUAAUAUUUUGAACCGCAUGGUUCAAAAGUGAAAGACGGUCUUGCUGUCACUUAUAGAUGGAUCCGGGCUGCAUUAGCUAGUUGGUAAGGUAACGGCUUACCAAGGCAACGAUGCAUAGCCGACCUGAGAGGGUGAUCGGCCACACUGGAACUGAGACACGGUCCAGACUCCUACGGGAGGCAGCAGUAGGGAAUCUUCCGCAAUGGGCGAAAGCCUGACGGAGCAACGCCGCGUGAGUGAUGAAGGUCUUCGGAUCGUAAAACUCUGUUAUUAGGGAAGAACAUAUGUGUAAGUAACUGUGCACAUCUUGACGGUACCUAAUCAGAAAGCCACGGCUAACUACGUG
rnacentral:rRNA from 1 species